UUUCUCUUCAUUUUUCUCUUUCCUUUUCUCUCUCUCUUUUCUCCCUUCUCUUUUGGACCGCACGGCUUUUCUCCCUCUCCCCAACGCACGUUCCCUUCUCCUUUCUUCUUCCUCUUUCAUUCUUCUUUUCCUUUCCUUCUCUUCCGCACACCAGCCCCUCUCCCCCAUCUCCUUUUUCUCUUCGUCCCUCCCCGUCACACACACGCACCCCGAAAGAUGAGACACAGAGAGACCAUGAGAAUGAAGAGCAGAUCAUGAGAGAGAGAUUUUGAGAUGGUGAGUGUGAUGGGUUCCGGCCAUGGAUGGUUUUUGAGGCUCGUGUCAUCAUUGGAGACUUUAAUUGGUUCUCCGAUGUUGUGUCCAUAUGAUUAGAAUCCAGUGGGAUGUUUGAGUCAUGAGUCCAAUGCAGCCAAGGUGAGUAUUCUACACAUUGAGAAAAGAUAUUUUUCGUAUUUUAUAGAAAUGCAAAUGAUAGAUGAUUUUCUACUGAACCGACGAUAUGUUAACAUGUAUGCUUUGAAUGUUUUAAGUAGUUUCAAUUAUGUUGAAAUAUCAAUGAUGUUAUGAAAUGAUGCAUGAAUGAAAGGUUUUGAAUUGAUUUAAA